AAAGGAAUAGACGGGGACCCGCACAAGCAGCGGAGCAUGUGGUUUAAUUCGAAGCAACGCGAAGAACCUUACCAGGACUUGACAUGGUAUUGACCGGUCUAGAGAUAGACUUUUCCCUUCGGGGACAAUACACACAGGUGGUGCAUGGUUGUCGUCAGCUCGUGUCGUGAGAUGUUGGGUUAAGUCCCGCAACGAGCGCAACCCCUAUUUUUAGUUACUAACAGGUAAUGCUGAGGACUCUAGAGAGACUGCCGAUGAUAAAUCGGAGGAAGGUGGGGAUGACGUCAAAUCAUCAUGCCCUUUAUGUCCUGGGCUACACACGUGCUACAAUGGUCGGUACAACGAGCAGCUACCUAGCGAUAGGAUGCAAAUCUCUAAAAGCCGAUCCCAGUUCGGAUUGUAGGCUGCAACUCGCCUACAUGAAGCCGGAGUUGCUAGUAAUCGCGGAUCAGAAUGUCGCGGUGAAUGCGUUCCCGGGUCUUGUACACACCGCCCGU
rnacentral:rRNA from 1 species